GACGAACGCUGGCGGCGUGCUUAACACAUGCAAGUCGAACGGAAAGGCCCUGCUUUUGUGGGGUGCUCGAGUGGCGAACGGGUGAGUAACACGUGAGUAACCUGCCCUUGACUUUGGGAUAACUUCAGGAAACUGGGGCUAAUACCGGAUAGGAGCUCCUGCUGCAUGGUGGGGGUUGGAAAGUUUCGGCGGUUGGGGAUGGACUCGCGGCUUAUCAGCUUGUUGGUGGGGUAGUGGCUUACCAAGGCUUUGACGGGUAGCCGGCCUGAGAGGGUGAACGGCCACAUUGGGACUGAGAUACGGACCAGACUCCUACGGGAGGCAGCAGUGGGGAAUAUUGCACGAUGGGCGGAAGCCUGAUGCAGCAACGCCGCGUGCGGGAUGACGGCCUUCGGGUUGUAAACCGCUUUCGCCUGUGACGAAGCGUGAGUGACGGUAAUGGGUAAAGAAGCACCGGCUAACUACGUG
rnacentral:rRNA from 1 species